rnacentral:rRNA from 1 species
AGCGAACGCUGGCGGCAGGCCUAACACAUGCAAGUCGAACGAACUCUUCGGAGUUAGUGGCGGACGGGGGAGUAACACGUGGGAACGUGCCUUUAGGUUCGGAAUAACUCAGGGAAACUUGUGCUAAUACCGAAUGUGCCCUUCGGGGGAAAGAUUUAUCGCCUUUAGAGCGGCCCGCGUCUGAUUAGCUAGUUGGUGAGGUAAAGGCUCACCAAGGCGACGAUCAGUAGCUGGUCUGAGAGGAUGAUCAGCCACAUUGGGACUGCGACCCGGCCCAAACUCCUACGGGAGGCAGCAGUGGGGAAUCUUGCGCAAUGGGCGAAAGCCUGACGCAGCCAUGCCGCGUGAAUGAUGAAGGUCUUAGGAUUGUAAAAUUCUUUCACCGGGGACGAUAAUGACGGUACCCGGAGAAGAAGCCCCGGCUAACUUCGUG